rnacentral:rRNA from 1 species
AACGAACGCUGGCGGCAUGCCUAACACAUGCAAGUCGAACGGGACAUUCGGGUCUAGUGGCGCACGGGUGCGUAACGCGGGGGAAUCUGCCCUUGGGUUGGGAAUGACGGAGAGAAUUUUCAGCUAAUACCGGAUAAUGUCUUCGGACCAAAGAUUUAUCGCCGGGGGAUGAGCCCGCGUAGGAUUAGGUAGUUGGUGGGGUAAUGGCCUACCAAGCCGACGAUCCUUAGCUGGUCGGAGAGGAUGAUCCGCCACACUGGGACUGAGACACGGCCCAGACUCCUACGGGAGGCAGCAGUGGGGAAUCUUGGACAAUGGGCGGAAGCCUGAUCCAGCAAUGCCGCGUGAGUGAUGAAGGCCUUAGGGUUGUAAAGCUCGUUUACCCGGGAUGAUAAUGACAGUACCGGGAGAAUAAGCUCCGGCUAACCCCGUG